rnacentral:tRNA from 1 species
GGGUAUAGUUCAGUGGUAGAAUGCAUGCUUAGCAUGCACGAGGUCCUGGGUUCAAUUUCCGGUAUAUCCA